GAUGAACGCUGGCGGCGUGCCUAAUACAUGCAAGUCGAGCGAACGGACGAGAAGCUUGCUUCUCUGAUGUUAGCGGCGGACGGGUGAGUAACACGUGGAUAACCUACCUAUAAGACUGGGAUAACUUCGGGAAACCGGAGCUAAUACCGGAUAAUAUUUUGAACCGCAUGGUUCAAAAGUGAAAGACGGUCUUGCUGUCACUUAUAGAUGGAUCCGCGCUGCAUUAGCUAGUUGGUAAGGUAACGGCUUACCAAGGCAACGAUGCAUAGCCGACCUGAGAGGGUGAUCGGCCACACUGGAACUGAGACACGGUCCAGACUCCUACGGGAGGCAGCAGUAGGGAAUCUUCCGCAAUGGGCGAAAGCCUGACGGAGCAACGCCGCGUGAGUGAUGAAGGUCUUCGGAUCGUAAAACUCUGUUAUUAGGGAAGAACAUAUAUGUAAGUAACUGUGCACAUCUUGACGGUACCUAAUCAGAAAGCCACGGCUAACUACGUGCCAGCAGCCGCGGUAAUACGUAGGUGGCAAGCGUUAUCCGGAAUUAUUGGGCGUAAAGCGCGCGUAGGCGGUUUUUUAAGUCUGAUGUGAAAGCCCACGGCUCAACCGUGGAGGGUCAUUGGAAACUGGAAAACUUGAGUGCAGGAGAGGAAAGUGGAAUUCCAUGUGUAGCGGUGAAAUGCGCAGAGAUAUGGAGGAACACCAGUGGCGAAGGCGACUUUCUGGUCUGUAACUGACGCUGAUGUGCGAAAGCGUGGGGAUCAAACAGGAUUAGAUACCCAGGUAGUCCACGCCGUAAACGAUGAGUGCUAAGUGUUAGGGGGUUUCCGCCCCUUAGUGCUGCAGCUAACGCAUUAAGCACUCCGCCUGGGGAGUACGACCGCAAGGUUGAAACUCAAAGGAAUUGACGGGGACCCGCACAAGCGGUGGAGCAUGUGGUUUAAUUCGAAGUAACGCGAAGAACCUUACCAAAUCUUGACAUCCUUUGACAACUCUAGAGAUAGAGCUUUCCCCUUCGGGGGACAAAGUGACAGGUGGUGCAUGGUUGUCGUCAGCUCGUGUCGUGAGAUGUUGGGUUAAGUCCCGCAACGAGCGCAACCCUUAAGCUUAGUUGCCAUCAUUAAGUUGGGCACUCUAAGUUGACUGCCGGUGACAAACCGGAGGAAGGUGGGGAUGACGUCAAAUCAUCAUGCCCCUUAUGAUUUGGGCUACACACGUGCUACAAUGGACAAUACAAAGGGCAGCGAAACCGCGAGGUCAAGCAAAUCCCAUAAAGUUGUUCUCAGUUCGGAUUGUAGUCUGCAACUCGACUACAUGAAGCUGGAAUCGCUAGUAAUCGUAGAUCAGCAUGCUACGGUGAAUACGUUCCCGGGUCU
rnacentral:rRNA from 1 species